CAGUAGCCGCGGGAAUACAGAGGGUGCGAGCGUUAAUCGGAAUUACUGGGCGUAAAGCGUGCGUAGGUGGUGGUUUAAGUCCGUUGUGAAAGCCCUGGGCUCAACCUGGGAAUUGCAGUGGAUACUGGGUCACUAGAGUGUGGUAGAGGAUAGUGGAAUUUCCGGUGUAGCAGUGAAAUGCGUAGAGAUCGGAAGGAACAUCUGUGGCGAAGGCGACUAUCUGGGCCAACACUGACACUGAGGCACGAAAGCGUGGGGAGCAAACAGGAUUAGAUACCCCGGUAGUCCCUGUCUCUUAUAC
rnacentral:rRNA from 1 species